ACUUGUUUUUAAGUGUAUUUAGGUGUUAGUAGCUUUUUAUGCUUUAAGCUUUGAACUGUCCAGAGUAGUCGCCUUCAUUCCCCUCGACUGCUGCCUGAAUUUUUGGACAGCUCCAAGCGGUUUAUGGCGACCGCGGAAAAGUUUUACACCCCACCAAAAAGCCAUAACAUGUACACCAGAUAUCUUGGGCACUAUCAUUUUUCCACCUUGCUUUCUUUGCCUACCACCCAAGCACUCGCAUUAUUGCCGGGGGCCACGCCGUUAGUAUCAUGUACGAAACUCAUAACUGGCUCAAUAAGUUUUCUGUGCUAUUUUUUACGAGCUUCAAUUCGAACUGCGUCUGCUUGGCUACAGCUCUUCCGUUGGCCCAGCUGGCUUGGCUUCCUUGCCGCAUUUCGUUUAAGGCCACGGAUUUUACAGCUGUCAGACAAGGUGUGCUGGUGUGCAACAAUUCGGCGGCAACGGACGCGUUAUUGAAUUGUAUUUUAUGGCUUUACUUACGCCACAAACUACGCAAUAUAAGGUGAGCUGAGACCUAGCUGUAGAACUGCAUUAAGGCUGAAAGCAGACUUAAAGGAAGCUGCUGACUCUUUCCUCUGGCCAGUGUCUUCUGCUUUGACAGCUGGCCAAGAGUCGGUCUAUUGGGUGACCCUACCCGGGCUUCAUCCCAUGUGCAGCCAAUCAGCGCAAAUUCGAAGCGGGGCGCAAAUUGCCAUCAAGCAUAAAAAAUAGUUGCCGGUCGACUUGGUGGCCAAAGGGCAAUGGCAAUGCCAAUGGCAAAACCGACCCCAAAGCAAACAAUGUAAAGUGCAGCCCUGCCCAAGACAACAAAUCGAAUAAUGCGGAAAGUAAAUUUUCAACUUCUUUCAGCCACACACACACGCGCACAAUAGAGGCUUUACACUGCGACCAAUUUUACUUCGGUACUUAAGAUUAAUUUAUUCCCUUCUUAAUUAUUAAGCAGCCCACGCCAAGACUUCCAUUUAAUGCAGGAGUUACUUCAGGUCUUUCGAAAUGAAGAUAUACUAAAGAGUCAAGGAAUCUUAUAGAUUUUUUACCAGUGCAAAAACUUCGGAAGCCAUGCCGGCUAUAUAAGUGGGGGCCAUGUCAGCUACUCGAAGCGUAGCCAAGCGAGCGCUGCGCUAACAAGUUACAAAACUAGCAGUGGAAAUGCAGGAAUUCGGGGUAACAAUUGCAGGCGAGGCCAGAAGUAGCAUCAGCAGCAGCAGCAGCAGCAGACGUCGACAUCAACAUCCACAUCUGCAGGUAUUGGCAGUGGAGCAUAUUGAAUGCCAGGCAUGCGGCCCGGCCCUUCUCCAGUCACCAGCAUAACUCGGCGUGCAACGGGGCGUAUGAGCAACAGCUGCCGUUUGCCGUGCAAAGUGUGCCCGGUAGCCACAAUCUUUAUUCGUAUUCCCAGCCGCGUCCAACAGACAGACUUGAUAAUAAUUUAUUAUCGUCUGAAUGUUCCUCCAAAAGUUUCUUUUUUUUGUGGCUUCGCGACACUAACGUAUGCAGACAGCGAAGCCGAUUCCCCGGCGGCCCAUUAGUCGCGUGUUUGAGCAUAUUCUAGAUGAAGAAUUAUGCGGAUGGCGGUGGCAUGUUGGCCUGGGAGUCUAUAAAGUUGAAACGGCCCUCAGAACUUCCCUUCUUUUCCAUCUCCAUUAUAGCCGGUGUCAAAAGCUAAACGGAAAUUCGAAUUCAAAUCGAUAGCUUCCAUUUAAUCACAUUGCCGGGAACGCCUGUCAUACUGCGUUUAGCUGCUAAAGCGAUUUGUUGCGAUUCAUUGAAAUUAUUUGCACAUUGGAUUUAAUUUUUCCUGUUUCGGGCACUUUAUCAAAUUGCAUUUCUGCCACAACAUGUAGCGCAUAAAAUUUUAUGAAAUUAUUUCGCGCAUUCGUAGGAACAACAAUCGACGCAUAUAUGUAUAAAGAGGGAAAAUCACACAACAACACUCUGGAGCUCUGAACGCAUAAAAAAUCAAUUAAACACGUUUCGACAAUAUUUUCGGCAAUGAUAUAAAUUUUUAUCACGCUCUUACAAUUA